rnacentral:rRNA from 1 species
CGGGGCCCCGCACAAGCAGCGGAGCGUGUGGUUUAAUUCGAUGCUACACGAAGAACCUUACCAGGGUUUGACAUGCAAGUGGUAGGAAACCGAAAGGCGACCGACCCUUCGGGGAGCUUGCACAGGUGCUGCAUGGCUGUCGUCAGCUCGUGUCGUGAGAUGUUCGGUUAAGUCCGCUAACGAGCGCAACCCUCGCUGUGUGUUACAAGUGUCACACGGUACUGCCGGUCUUAAGCCGGAGGAAGGUGGGGAUGACGUCAAGUCAGCAUGGCCUUUAUGUCCUGGGCUACACACACGCUACAAUGGCCAACACAAUAGGUUGCUAAGCCGCGAGGUGGAGCCAAUCCUCAAAGUUGGUCUCAGUUCAGAUUGCAGGCUGCAACCCGCCUGCAUGAAGAUGGAGUUGCUAGUAACCGCAGGUCAGCUAUACUGCGGUGAAUACGUUCCCGGGGCUU